rnacentral:rRNA from 1 species
CCUACGGGAGGCAGCAGUAGGGAAUCUUCCACAAUGGACGAAAGUCUGAUGGAGCAACGCCGCGUGAGUGAAGAAGGGUUUCGGCUCGUAAAGCUCUGUUGGUAGUGAAGAAAGAUAGAGGUAGUAACUGGCCUUUAUUUGACGGUAAUUACUUAGAAAGUCACGGCUAACUACUGGACAGCAGCCGCGGUAAUACGUAGGUGGCAAGCGUUGUCCGGAUUUGUUGGGCGGAAAGCGGGUGCAGGCGGUUCAAUAAGUCUGAUGUGAAAGCCUUCGGCUCAACCGGAGAAUUGCAUCAGAGACUGUUGAACUUGAGUGCAGAAGAGGAGAGUGGAACUCCAUGUGUAGCGGUGGAAUGCGUAGAUAUAUGGAAGAACACCAGUGGCGAAGGCGGCUCUCUGGUCUGCAACUGACGCUGAGGCUCGAAAGCAUGGGUAGCGAACAGGAUUAGAUACCCCAGUAGUC